AACGCACGAGACCUGCGGACCUGCGGAGGGAUCAUUAUCGAAACCUUCAAACUUGGGUAUGCUUGGCCUGGUCUUUUGGCCGUAAGAGCCGGCUCCCCAAUCAUCAUCCCUCCUUCACACCUGUUCACCUUCAGAGGGGAAAAAGGGGGGGGUUUGUCUUGCCCCCCUCAAGGGCUCGCUUUCCCCCACCUUCACCCCCUUUUUUUUUCCACCAAAAAGCACUUUACUGUCACAGAAUGU
rnacentral:misc_RNA from 1 species